AGUGAGGUCAGCUAAUCAAGCUCUUGGGCCCAUACCCCGAAAAUGUUGGAAAAAAACCUUCCCUCACUA
rnacentral:tRNA from 1 species